GGGGAUUUAGCUCAGUGGCAUAAGCACCUGCCUUGGAAGCAGGCUAUCGUGAGUUCGAUCCCUG
rfam:Cavia porcellus supercont2_44 genomic scaffold, whole genome shotgun sequence.